AUUGAACGCUAGCAGGAUGCUUUACACAUGCAAGUCGAACGGCAGCGCGGACUUCGGUCUGGCGGCGAGUGGCGAACGGGUGAGUAAUGUAUCGGAACGUGCCCAGUAGCGGGGGAUAACUACGCGAAAGCGUAGCUAAUACCGCAUACGCCCUACGGGGGAAAGCAGGGGAUCGUAAGACCUUGCACUAUUGGAGCGGCCGAUAUCGGAUUAGCUAGUUGGUGAGGUAACGGCUCACCAAGGCGACGAUCCGUAGCUGGUUUGAGAGGACGACCAGCCACACUGGGACUGAGACACGGCCCAGACUCCUACGGGAGGCAGCAGUGGGGAAUUUUGGACAAUGGGGGCAACCCUGAUCCAGCCAUCCCGCGUGUGCGAUGAAGGCCUUCGGGUUGUAAAGCACUUUUGGCAGGAAAGAAACGUCGCGGGCUAAUACCCCGUGGAACUGACGGUACCUGCAGAAUAAGCACCGGCUAACUACGUG
rnacentral:rRNA from 1 species